AGCGAAGUGCCUGAAAAAGGAUUAUUAUGAUAGAAUAAACCAUGUAGUAUUAAGUACUACCUUCGCUA
rnacentral:tRNA from 1 species